rnacentral:lncRNA from 1 species
CCAAAUAGUUGCAGAAGAGUAUUUAUUGCAGUAGAAUUGGAAGCAACUCUUAAAAGAGAUUCUGAAGUUAUCUGAUACUCAAAUAAGUCAACCUUGGAAUCAGAUACCACUUCAGCAGCGGGACUGCUCAGGGCCAAAUCCAGCUGAAAUUCCAGACUCCCCAGGCCAUGGCUUUCUUCCUCUGCCACCAACUAGAUACAUAAGAAUAUUGCAUCUAAGGUACAAGGCUCUGCCUUUUCCUUUUUAAAGCUUCAUGAGGUUCUUCUAGCUUGUCAC